AGCAGCGUGGCGCAGCGGAAGCGUGCUGCGCCCAUAACCCAGAGGUCCCUGGAUCAAAACCAGGCGCUGCUA
rnacentral:tRNA from 1 species